rnacentral:rRNA from 1 species
AUUGAACGCUGGCGGCAUGCUUUACACAUGCAAGUCGAACGGCAGCGCGGGCUUCGGCCUGGCGGCGAGUGGCGAACGGGUGAGUAAUACAUCGGAACGUGCCCAGUAGUGGGGGAUAGCUCGGCGAAAGCCGGAUUAAUACCGCAUACGACCUGAGGGUGAAAGCGGGGGUUCUUCGGACCUCGCGCUAUUGGAGCGGCCGAUGGCAGAUUAGCUAGUUGGUGGGGUAAAGGCCUACCAAGGCGACGAUCUGUAGCUGGUCUGAGAGGACGACCAGCCACACUGGGACUGAGACACGGCCCAGACUCCUACGGGAGGCAGCAGUGGGGAAUUUUGGACAAUGGGCGAAAGCCUGAUCCAGCAAUGCCGAGUGUGUGAUGAAGGCCUUCGGGUUGUAAAGCACUUUUGGCGGGAACGAAAAGGACUGUGCCAAUACCACGGUUCGAUGACGGUACCCGCAGAAUAAGCACCGGCUAACUACGUG